GUUGAGCAAACAUUCAGUAAGCACUAACCAUGACUAACAGCUACAUCAAUGCAUCACAAGAUAAUACCUUGGCAACAAAAUGCUCAUCUAACAGAAUGUUGCUCGAUUUGAUGUCUCUAUGGCAGAGUGGAGGGUUACAAAAGAAAUGGAGAUACUCCUGAAACAAGAAGACGACAUGAAAAUCCACCAUCAAGAAGUAAUGUUCGUAUCAAAGGAAGUUGUUUCAGCAUAAUCAAGUAUCAAAGGAACUGACAAAAAGCAGCUCAAAGAACCCCAGGAUAGAAUACAUGUGCAGGAGUCAUGAUGGGAGCUAGCACUGCCAAGCAUGAACUAUGGUCGACGGAAGUCUGAACAGACACCAAUAGAGUUUGUACAUGUAGCAUUAGUCAAUAUUGUCCUCCUUCGACGCCUAAACUACUACCCUUCCUCUUCUUCAGAACCUCCUCAGGGAAAGCAGUAAAGCACAAUUGCUUAAUUUUGGGAAUUUGAAAACAUAGGUCUAGCCUACUAAAGAUCAAGGUAUCGCCAAUUCGUCCAAAACAAGUUGACAAUGUGAACAACUAAAUUGUAUGUAGCAGGAUACAGAUCUGAGCUGGAAAUAUCUAUCUAUUCAGCAAUAUCACAUUGAUGUAACCAUACAGCAAGUGCAUGCCACCACAUCAGU
rnacentral:lncRNA from 1 species